rnacentral:misc_RNA from 1 species
GAUGAAGAACGUAGCGAAAUGCGAUAAGUAAUGUGAAUUGCAGAAUUCAGUGAAUCAUCGAAUCUUUGAACGCACCUUGCACCCUUUGGCAUUCUGAAGGGUAUGCUCGUUUGAGUGUCAUUGUACUCUCACACUCCCGAUCUUUGCAUUGGGAGCAGUGGACUUGGGUUUGCUGCUUCACCGUCGCUUACCUCAAAUAGGUUAGUGCAACUCUUGGUUGGACAUAGUACGGCGUGAUAAGUGUUCUUCGCCGGUGCCUCGCAAAGAGGGUGGCCGAUCGGGAUGUUGUGCUCCAAACCGUCUUCGGACAAUCUCUGACGACUUGACCUCAAAUCGAGUAAGACUACCCGCUGAACUUAAGCAUAUCAAUAAGCGGAAGGA